CAACGCUAAUAUGCUGAGCAGCGCUACCAACAAACUGAUCAAUUUACAAAUAUAGACAUGCUAGUUGUAUUUUAAGAGUCGUACUUUUUGGUUGUUGUAAGCGCGUAAAAUAGGAACAAAUUUAAUAUGAAAAUAAAAUUUUAUUAAAAGAAAACAAAAAUUAAACGAAUUAAUAAAAAACAAAAUAAUAAUAAAAACCUAAAAAAUUAUUAAAAUAAAAAAUGGAAUAAAACAAACAAAUUUUAUAAAAAAAUAAAACAAAAUUAAAUUUACCAAAAAAAUUUUUUAAACAAAUUUCGCUUGUUGAGAAUAAAAAGUUAUAUUUCAAGUGAAUUUGGCUGAAAUUAAAGUGAAAAAUAAAACAAUUUUUAAAGAUUUUUUUGUUUAAAAAAAAUAUCUGAAAAAGCAGUUUUCUAUUAAACAACAGUUAUAAAUCGAUUCACAAACGAUUUUACCUUUGACAAAAAAUACAAAACAAAACAACUCCAAAAAAAGCCCGUUUUUUGUUACGAUUUCUGCUGCUUCUUCUUUAAAUUUUUUAUACAUUGUGUGCGAGUUUCGAUUUACCCCCUCAAAACGCUCCUCUCCACGGCUCCCACAAAAAAAGUGUUGAUUUUUUUUUGUUGGUGUUUUAUUACGGUUGAAUUUUUCGUUGGUUCAAGAGAGUCGAAUCGCGUAGAGUCGAGUCGAGUCAGUCAGUCACUUUACUUUAGUUGUCUCAAUAUUAAUUAUUUGAAUGUAUUAAUAUUGUUGUUGUUGUUGCUGUGAUUUGUUCAGUUAAAAAGUGUUAGUGUAUGAGUGUUAAAGAGUAUUAAAGAAAACAAAAAAAAUAUAUAAUAAAAAUAUAAAAAUUUAAGUAACAAAAACAAAAAAAAAAAAAAAAAAAAAAAAAAAAAUUAAUACGUUGUUGUUGUUGUGUGUACUUAAAAAUAAAAGCAACAACUUUUGUAGAAAAAAAUUUAAAAAAAAACAACAAAAAAAUAGCUGACAAUUUGUCGUUGUUGUUCGUCUUUAUUAUUAUUAUUUACUCAACUACAACUUAGCUUACUGUUGUUGUAGUAGUAGUUUUUUAUUUAAAUUUUAAAAAAUAUAAAAAUAAAACAAAAAUUUUUAUACGAAAUACGAUACAACUUGAAAUAAAAUACAGCAGCAGCUUUAAUAUUAAAAACAAAAAAAUUAAAAAAAAACGUGUUGUUAACUUAAUAUUUUCACUUUUUAUAUGAAAACAAAUUUUAUGUUUUUUUUUUAUAGAAAACAAAAAAAUCAAUUUUUAAAAAAAUUAUUAUAAAGUUUCUUUAAGAAAAAUUAUUCUAUGCAAAUUUUUUUUAAACAUAAAAGUGAUUAUUGAAUAAUUUUAAACCGGAUUUGGUGUAAAAUAUUUUCAAUUCAAUUUGUUAUUAAAAGUUUGAAGCCAAUAAACCCACAACAGGAUUUUUGUUUUAAUUUCUUAUCUAAUCAAUAACAACAACUCUACACCCGACUAAGGUAAGUUUUGAAAUUCCAAAUAUUUUUUUCUCACCGUAUUUAUUAACGACCAUAAAAAUAUGCUCGUAACAUACUGUGAAAUUUCUUGUAACAUAUUUCGUUUUGUGGGUAAUGCCCUGUAAAUCUAUAGAGAUUGAGAGAAAUCCAUUUUUACGAUCAAAUUUUUAAUAAGUGUGAUCAUAUUAAAUAACAAAAAAACAAAAACUUAAAUUGGACAAAAAAAAAAAAAAAAAAAAAAAAGAAAUUACCAUUUAUAAUUU